UUUUCAUUUCCUUCGAAAGUUUCGUUUUUAUUUUUUCUUCUUCUCUCGCAAACCUCGAGCAGGCGAAACGACGAGAUUUUUUUCCCUCACCGUCGUUAACUCGUGUCCACCGAUUGUCGUCGUUAACUCGAUCUUUUUUUUUUUCUUGAAAUCGCUCCUCGAUUCUGGUUAAGCUAAUUGCUAGAUUUGGGGUUUAUAUAUUUAGUGGUGAUCGAUCAAUCAAUCAGUUUGAUUGAAUUUAUUAGAAAUCUUGGAUCUUUCGAUAGAAAAUUAUACUUACGAUUGUGUGUGAGCCUCUCUUUAUCUAGAACAUGAUUUGGAUUACUCUGCAUCUAAUAUCAUUUGUCUUAUAAGUAAGUGAAUCCGGGAUCCGUUUCUGCAGGUAAUUUCAGGUUCAAGGAGAUUCUAUCAAGAAGACUUUGAGCUAAACUUCUAGUUUCCUUAACUCAAAAUAAUCAUGGGCUUCUGGACACUGAUGGAAGGAUUGUUGCUAUUCGCAAACGCGCUGGCUAUCCUCAACGAAGACCGUUUUCUAGCUCCCAAAGGAUGGACACUCCCAAAGGAUGGAAACAUAGUAUUAAACAUUCUUAAAUUAUUUAUUAAACAUUAAUCUAUGUAUUUAUUAAUCCAUAUAUUUUUAUGAAUU